AUUGAACGCUGGCGGCAGGCCUAACACAUGCAAGUCGAGCGAGCGGCGGACGGGUGAGUAAUGUCUGGGAAACUGCCUGAUGGAGGGGGAUAACUACUGGAAAAGGUAGCCAAUACCGCAUACCAUCAGAUGUGCCCAGAUGGGAGUAGCUAGUAGGUGGGGUAAAGGCUCACCUAGGCGACGAUCCCUAGCUGGUCUGAGAGGAUGAACAGCCACACUGUAACUGAGACACGGUCCAGACUCCUACGGGAGGCAGCAGUGGGGAAUAUUGCACAAUGGGCGCAAGCCUGAUGCAGCCAUGCCGCGUGUAUGAAGAAGGCCUUCGGAUUGUAAAGCACUUUCAGCGGGGAGGCGUUACCCGCAGAAAAAGCACCGGCUAACUCCGUGCCAGCAGCCGCGGUAAUUC
rnacentral:rRNA from 1 species